rnacentral:rRNA from 1 species
AUCUGAUGCAAAUCAGAAACAGGUGCAGGUAGGCAGUUCGGCUGGGGCGGCACCCCUUUGAAAAGAUAUCAAAGGGGCCCAAAGUUUAGUUCAAACGGGUCAGAAAUCCGUUGAAGAGGGCAAAGCCAAAAACUAGACUGACAGGAUUUCCAAACGCACGGAAUUCUGAGACGAAAGUCUGGCUUAGCGAUCCUUCGUGUGCCCACUAUUGGGGCCCGGAGGUGACAGAAAAAUUACCCCAGGGAUAACAGGCUCGUCGCGGGCGAGAGCUCCUAUCGACCCCGCGGUUUGGUACCUCGAUGUCGGCUUUUCCUAUCCUGGUCCUGCAGCAGGGGCCAAGGGUGAGGCUGCUCGCCUAUUAAAAGGGAACAUGAGCUGGGUUUAGACCGUCGUGAGACAGGUCGGUCUCUGCCUGAUGGAAGCGCGGCUGUCUGAGGGGAAGUUGCUCUCAGUACGAGAGGAACAGAGCAACGUGGCCACUGGUCUACCGGUUGUCUGAUAAGGCAGGCCGGGCAGC